CCGUUUUCUUCCCUCCAAUACUGUAACCUUAAACCCAAACCUCAUCAACUGUCUUGCAGCUGCCAAUCCAGCCAAACCAGCGCCGAUGAUGAUUACAUUAGANNNNAAACUCAUUGGGGAUUUUCUCUUUGAUAGAUUGUGAGACUCCAAAAUUGAUGUAGCCACGCGAAACUAAAUAGUCAUAAGCAGAAUCCAGAAGGCCAUGACAGUGUUUCG
rnacentral:misc_RNA from 1 species